UGGCAGCUCCUCAGAUGGUCC
rnacentral:piRNA from 1 species